rnacentral:piRNA from 1 species
UCAUCAAUGUGAACAGAUUACUGGAUGUCU